rnacentral:rRNA from 1 species
GACGAACGCUGGCGGCGUGCUUAACACAUGCAAGUCGAACGGAAAGGCACUGCUUUUGUGGGGUUCUCGAGUGGCGAACGGGUGAGUAACACGUGAGUAACCUGCCCUAGACUUUGGGAUAACUUCAGGAAACUGGGGCUAAUACCGGAUAGGAGACCCUGCUGCAUGGUGGGGGUUGGAAAGUUUCGGCGGUUUGGGAUGGACUCGCGGCUUAUCAGCUUGUUGGUGGGGUAGGGGCUUACCAAGGCUUUGACGGGUAGCCGGCCUGAGAGGGUGACCGGCGACAUUGGGCCUGAGAUACGGCCCAGAGUCCUACGGGAGGCAGCAGUGGGGAGUAUUGCACAGUGGGCGGAAGCCUGAUGCAGCAACGCCGCGUGCGGGAUGACGUCCUUCGGGUUGUAAACCGCUUUCGCCUGUGACGAAGCGUGAGUGACGGUAAUGGGUAAAGAAGCACCGGCUAACUACGUG